CAAAGAUUAGGCUGUCUGAUACUCUCUUUUCUUUUGAAAACUUUUUUUUUAACCUUAUUUUAUUCUUCAGGUAAAUUGAAUUUCUCCAAGCCACUAAAAAUUGCCAAGGGUCCUCCUUUUGGCAACACAAAUUCAAAUAUGGUAAUGAUAGAGAUUGCCAAGGGAAUUCUUCAUCUUCGACAGCUCCCAGGUUUCUCAGCAGGCCAAGGGCAGGGCCUGGUCUAGAAUAGAAGAUUAACAGACAACAGAUCACCAUGCUUAAGCAGGUCUGAGAGAAUGGAAAAACUGACCCACAGGAGGCCCACCCUGCCGAUUCAGCGGCAGUUGGAGGAAGUACUUUCAAAACAUAAUGUGUGGAGGCUGGCAGACCAGCACAGGGAGACAUGCCAAAGCUUGCAAGCUCCCUAUGUGAGACAGAGGGGAUUCCACGUGGCUAAAUCACAGCUUUUCAAAAGGUGAGCAGAGAUGGCAAACAUCUUAUGAAACGAUAUAAACCUUGGAGAACAUUCGUAUUCACCAAAGUCACAAAGCCAAAGCAAAAAUGACCUCACUGGAUUUUCCUCAUUGUUUUGUGAGCAGGAAAAGAAAACACUGGGUAAAGAAAUUGUUUUCAUGCAGGAUUAUGAAGUUGAAGAACUUAGACUGGAAAGAUGCUCAGGUAUCCUCUAACUGAUGCUUUGUUGUUAUAGAAGAGAGCUAAAGCCAAGAGAAUUUAAGUCAGUGAUUCUCAAAAUUGGCUUCUAUUGGAAUCACCUGUGGAGAUUUAAAACCCAGUUCUGCCCGGGCCCCAUCUCCGGAGUCUCCAAUGUCAUUGGUUUGGGCUGUGUUUAGGACACCUAGAGUUUUAAAAUCUCCCCAGCUGAUUCUUCUGUGUAGCUCCAAAUCGAAAACCACUGUGUUAAGUGACAUAUAUGGUACCACUUGCACUAAUGUACUAAUAUGCACUUAAUAAGAUAUGUCAGUGCAAACACCCAGAUGUCAGUGAGAGCCCAAACUGCUAAAUCUGAAGCUAUUUCAUCAAGCCUCCAAACUUUUUUCUGCAUAUUCCUUUGUUCUUCUUCCUAUUUGCCUUCCUUUCACAGCCCAUGGCACUUGGUCCAGUGUCUCUAAACUAGCAAAACAAGUUAUCAGAAAAGGAGUCAAUAAAGGCAUCAUUCUGAAGUGUUGCUGACUAAUCUGUACUAUGUUUCCUAGACAUAUUUGUGUUUUAACAAGAAACAAAGACCCUGCUAGAAAAAGCCUUCAUGAUAACCUUGAAAUAAUAACCCAUUGGCAGUUCCUUACUGUCUGUGGAGAGACAAUCAAGUUUUCUCUGUCAAGUGGACCAGCUGGAUCAUCUAGGAGAGCUUCAAGGUCUCAGGUUGUAAACCUGUGGAUAUGCAAGCUUAUUGGGCAAUUGGCAUCUGAAAACAAACCGAGGUCACUCCGACUGCAAAGACCAGGAUUCUGUCUAGUCAGUUUGGAUGCUUCCUCCCUACUCGUAACCCUUCUGUAGAUAUGAGAAAACCUGAAAUCAGAGUCCUUUUCAUAGAACAAAACUGAAAGAUAUCUGGCUGUGCCUGGCCAAAGUGGACAUCUACUACACUACUGCAUCCCAUGUAGUAAUGGGAAACUACAUGAAUUCUGCUAGUGCCGUAUCUGUAACUCAACCUAAGAAAUCUUCUUUGUGCCUCCACUAUGUGUUGUUUGUAGUGUUUGUCUUUACCCCUUGCCUGGUCUGUCUCUUCAUAAGGUUGCUUUUAAGUAACUAGGCAAUUAUGAAAGAUGUUUAGAAUACAUAUUUCUUCCUUAGAAACUCACAGAAGGUAAAAAGUCUAGAUACCAAUUUGUUCAUUGAUUGGCAGUCCUACUGUCACUCUAUUACAGAUUUUCUUCUCUAGGAUGAUAGCAUUUUAUUCUUCCUAUAGUAGAAUUAUAGUUAUUUAUGGAAUUAUCUGCUGGAAAUAUGCUUUUCUUAUGUUAUGGUUAGUAAGGCAUGGAGAGAGAGCAGAGAAGGGGAUAUGGAAGAGUAAAGAAAUGAAUCAUGAGGACUUAACUCAGUGUUUAAGAACUUUAUGCCUGACUUUAAAUUGUGGCCAUGAUUAACUAGCUUGUAUCAGACUUCUCCUCUCUCAAAAAUGUAUAUAAAUAGGGAAAAAUAUAUAAAAUAGUUGUUUUCAGGAAGUGAGCAGCAACUAAUACCAGGCUGCGAAAUCUCUGAGCUAAGGGAAGCAUGUGAGCUACAUCCUGCAUUCACCCUGAUCUCUCCCUGAGUGCAAUUCCCAAACCAUUGUAUGGGGAAUGGAGCCCAAGCAGAAAACAGUGGUUUUGCUGUUAGAGGAAACAGAGACUGGUGUUGGAGUUACCAUGGUGACUGGGAUUUGAGGGGUAGGGUAUUAGACAGGACAGAGCGCAGAGAAAGAGCUCCAAAUUUCUACAUAAAAAUUCACAUUGGGUCUUUGGUUGAUUCAUAAAGCUGUGCAUUCACAGAAUGAGAUUUCAAGAGAAGGAACAGAGGAAAAA